rnacentral:rRNA from 1 species
UACAGAGGGUGCGAGCGUUAAUCGGAAUUACUGGGCGUAAAGCGUGCGUAGACGGUUAUCUAAGUCAGAUGUGAAAGCCCCGGGCUCAACCUGGGAAUUGCAUUUGAGACUGAAUAGCUAGGGUGCGGUAGAGGGAAGCGGAAUUUCCGGUGUAGCGGUGAAAUGCGUAGAUAUCAGAAGGAACAUCAGUGGCGAAAGCGGCUUCCUGGACCAGCACCGACGUUCAGGCACGAAAGCGUGGGGAGCAAACAGG